rnacentral:rasiRNA from 1 species
GACGAACUACCGAGCCCGAGCCU